AUUGAACGCUGGCGGCAUGCCUUACACAUGCAAGUCGAACGGCAGCACGGGUGCUUGCACCUGGUGGCGAGUGGCGAACGGGUGAAUAAUACAUCGGAACGUACCUUAUCGUGGGGGAUAACGCAGCGAAAGCUGUGCUAAUACCGCAUACGCCCUGAGGGGGAAAGCGGGGGAUCGAAAGACCUCGCGCGAUUAGAGCGGCCGAUGCCUGAUUAGCUUGUUGGUGGGGUAAAAGCCCACCAAGGCGACGAUCAGUAGCUGGUGUGAGAGGACGAUCAGCCACACUGGGACUGAGACACGGCCCAGACUCCUACGGGAGGCAGCAGUGGGGAAUUGUGGACAAUGGGGGCAACCCUGAUCCAGCAAUGCCGCGUGAGUGAAGAAGGCCUUCGGGUUGUAAAGCUCUUUUGUCAGGGAAGAAACACCGGCUCUAACACAGUCCGGGAAUGACGGUACCUGAAGAAUAAGCACCGGCUAACUACGUGCCAGCCGCCGCGGUAA
rnacentral:rRNA from 1 species